rnacentral:rRNA from 1 species
GGGGAAUAUUGGACAAUGGGGGCAACCCUGAUCCAGCAAUGCCGCGUGUGUGAAGAAGGCCUGAGGGUUGUAAAGCACUUUCAGUGGGGAGGAGGUUACUUAGGUUAAGAGCUAGAGUAAUGGACGUUACCCACAGAAGAAGCACCGGCUAACUCCGUGCCAGCAGCCGCGGUAAUACGGAGGGUGCAAGCGUUAAUCGGAAUUACUGGGCGUAAAGGGUUCGUAGGUGGUUAAUUAAGUUAUCUGUGAAAUCCCCGGGCUCAACCUGGGCAGGUCAGAUAAUACUGGUUAACUCGAGUAUGGGAGAGGGUAGUGGAAUUUCCGGUGUAGCGGUGAAAUGCGUAGAGAUCGGAAGGAACACCAGUGGCGAAGGCGGCUACCUGGCCUAAUACUGACACUGAGGAACGAAAGCGUGGGGAGCAAAC